AUUGAACGCUGGCGGAAGGCCUAACACAUGCAAGUCGAACGAGUGGCGGACGGGUGAGUAAUGGAUGGGAAACUGCCUGAUGGAGGGGGAUAACUAAUGGAAACGGUAGCUAAUACCGCAUACGACUGGUUGCGGCAUGAUGGGUGUAGGUAGUAGGUGGGGUAAAGGCUCACCUAGGCGACGACCCCUAGCUGGUCUGAGAGGAUGACCAGCCACACUUGAACUGCGACACGGUCCAGACUCCUACGGGAGGCAGCAGUGGGGAAUAUUGCACAAUGGGCGCAAGCCUGAUGCAGCCAUGCCGCGUGUAUGAAGAAGGCCUGCGGGUUGUAAAGUACUUUCGGCGGGUAGGCGUUGCCCGCAGAAGAAGCACCGGCGAACUCCGUGCCAGCAGCCGCGGUAAUAC
rnacentral:rRNA from 1 species